UGAGGACUAUUGCUCAAUGGCCGCAAGGCUGAAGCAGCAACGCCGCGUGAGGGAUGAAGGAUCUAUGGUCUGUAAACCUCUGUAGAGAAGGAAAAAUAACCCAUUAUAUGGGCUUGAUAGUACUUCUAGAGUAAGCCCCGGCUAACUACGUGCCAGCAGCCGCGGUAAUACGUAGGGGGCGAGCGUUGUCCGGAAUCACUGGGUGUAAAGGGUGCUCAGGCGGGUCGAUAAGUCAGAGGUGAAAUUUCACAGCUUAACUGUGAAUGUGCUUUUGAUACUGUCGGUCUAGAGUUCAGAAGAGGGCAAUGGAAUGCUUGGUGUAGCGGUAAAAUGCAUAGAUAGCAAGAAGAACACCAGUUGCGAAGGCGGUUGCCUGGUCUGUAACUGACGCUCAAGCACGAAAGCGUGGGGAUCAAACA
rnacentral:rRNA from 1 species